rnacentral:lncRNA from 1 species
GAGAGAGAGAGAGAGAGAGAGAGAGAGAAAUUUAGCUGUUUUGGUUUUUUUUGAACUAUCCCAAUUCAAAUAUUCAAAAACAGAUUCAUUCCCCUAAAAUUCAAGGAUGUUCAGAUCUGGGGUUCUGCUUCAGUUAUCUCUAUUUAAUGUGCUUCAACAGCUUAUGAUUUUGUGUGAUUGCACUGAAGACUGGUGAUCUAGGGACACAGUGCAAAAAGUAACAACCUAUAUAGGACAGAACAGAAUCUCCCUUUUUAACAACGUUUUCAUUACAACGGCUCUGCUCUUUAGCAGAGUCAUCAGAUGAUUCCCUUUAUUGGAUUUCUUUAUGUAGUGCAUGCUAUGAUCAUGUUUAGGUUGCUUUUUUUAAUUUGAUGGAGUUACGUAGGAUUAGGGUUCUUUAUCAAUGCAAUUCUCUGAGUAGCAAAUAGGGUUAAAAAGGAAAAAAUAUACAACUCUCCCUUCUCCAGCCUUUAAAAUGACAUGCCAGGAUAGUUUUAAGUUUACCCUUCACCCUAUGUGGACAAAUUUAUUUGCUGCCCCAGUUACUAAUGGUGAGACCUACAAUGCUAUAUUUCCUCCAUCUCAAUGACACCUUGCCUCUACAAUGAGCAAGUUUGAGAAGAAAAUCUCACUAUUUUAAUAAAAAGUAACAAGGAAUGUCUGCUUCCUCCAGCUUGUAAUAGUGGCCCAGUGGCAGAGAGGAAGCAGGCAGCACAUUCACUGAAGUGAACUGUUUCUCUUGAAAGUUGCUCCCUUAGGGUUUCUCAUUCCAACACCACACCCAACUCCACUCCAUUCCCAAGGAGAGCAGAUUUUCCAGCACGGAUCUGCACUGCCUGGAAAAUUUGUGGAAAUCAAGCAAAAAAGGUAAAGAAAGUGUGGUUUCUGUAUGUAGACUAUAGACAAACCCCAUCGACAACUGCUGCGGCUGGAGCCAUUCAUCUUACACUAAUAUUUGGAGUGGCAUGAGCUAAAAGCUAGGUGAGCGUAACACUAUACUCCCCAUCAAGGUGUCACCUUGCCUAGUUACAUCAGGGUAAAAACUGCCCAUGCCUUGUCUUCACUAGGAUUUCAGAGUGAGCCAGUAUGUUCUCUAUCUUGCUGUAACACCCCCCGACAUACACGUUUUGGCAGGUGAAGAUAAAAACUUAGCUGUUCAUCAAUAAGCUGCCUUUAUAAAUAUAUUAAAAUUACUGCUCUAACUCCUAGGGUGCUGUGAGAGGCCUAAUUAGUUAAUGCUAGUAAAACACUUGGGCAGUGUAAAUGUAUAAUAGAAUACAUUUAACAAAGCAACUGCACCUAGGCACUAUGCAGAGCUGGCUGCCUUUGCAAGCUAGGCACAGCAACUCUUUGGAGGCGGGUGGGCAGGUAACCCCCCCUUGAACCGGCAGCUGCCAGACUAAAGCAUUUUCAUUCUUGCCCCACUGACUGAUUUUACAUUUUGGCACAAGGACUUAACUGACUGCUCCUGGCAGCCAGGGCCGGCUCCAGGCACCAGCCCACCAAGCAUGUGCUUGGGGCGGAACCUGGAGGGGGACGGCGCGGCGCUCCGGCCCGAGAGCUG